rnacentral:rRNA from 1 species
GUUCUUUUGUUUUAUAUAAAAGAUCUGGCCUGCCCAAUGAUUAAUUUUUUAAUGGCUGCAGUAUUUUGACUGUACAAAGGUAGCAUAAUCAUUUGUCUUUUAAUUGAAGUCUGGUAUGAAGGGUUAGAUGAAAAAUUAACUUUCUUUAUUUUAAAAUAAUAAAUUAAUUUUUAAAUUAAAAAGUUUAAAUUUAAUUAGAGGACGAGAAGACCCUAUAGAACUUUAUUCUUUUUCUAGAAAAUUUUAUUUUGUUUAUAUCAAAAAUUUUCUAGAAAAAUAAUUUGAUUGGGGUGAUCAAAAAAAUUUAAUAACUUUUUUUAUUAUUCUCAUUAAUUUAUGAUAUUUUGAUCCUUUUUUAUGGAAAAAAGAUUAAGUUACCUUAGGGAUAACAGCGUUAUUAUUUUAGAGAGUUCUUAUCAAUAAAAUAGUUUGCGACCUCGAUGUUGGAUUAAAAUAAGUUUCAGGAGCAACAAAUUGAAUAUCUAGGUCUGCUCGACCUUUAAAUUUUUACA